GUGGCACAUGGAAGUUCCCAGGCUAGGGGUCGAAUGGGAACUGCAGCUGCCAGCCUACCCCACAGCCACAGCAACGCCGGAUCCAGCCAUGUCUGUGACCUACACCACAGCUCACGGCAACGCCGGAUCCUGAACCCACUAAGCGAGGCUCAUCAGGAUGUAAGGGCCCCCCCAGCCUCCUCCUCCAUCAAAGCCCCUCCCCCUGGCUCAGAGCUGAAGGUGGCUGUCGAGGCUUCAGCAUCACUGAAGGGCGGGUGGCACACAGCCCUCAGCACAGAGCACCACCCACUGCACCCCUCAGGCCGGCCAGGCAAGGGGAGAGCAGAGGUGAGCCCCCUUCACAGCCCAGAGAAAACUCCCGGCUUGUCCUUCUCCCCCUGAAGGUGCCCCCCUCACACCCUUCGCACGCGCCCGCCAGGAAGGAACACUCACCUGGCCUCAGAAAGGGGCCGAGCACCUGCUCAGAAUCAACCAGAGACACGGAGGCCAGGAAAUCUCGUUCUCAGAAGACGGACACGCAGGCAGAAGGGAAUCAAAUACAGCCCCUCAGAGUGAGAGGCAAAGACGGGGCCAACUUCCCAGGUGGUCUCACCUGGGCGGAGUGGGGGGGCCUCACACGAGGCUUCCUUGCUCCCCCGCCCCCGACGACGGACAGAGGACCAGCUGCUGUGCCCAGCCCCGCUGAGCUGCCAUCUCUCUCCUCUGAUGUAAAUUCGCUUCUGUUGCUGGAUCAGCGAGGAUCAGCGACCACGGGCUCACUCUCUGGCCGCAGGAAGGGCGGAGGCUCCCACCACCCCCGAGCGGGGCGCCUGCAGUGAGCUGAGCCGAGCAAGCCUGCAGCGGCUCAGUCACCUGCGUGAGCUCCAGAGAGAGCGGGCUGGGGUUCCUGCCCAAGCCCCAGGCCUCGGGGCUCCCCUCCCAGCCUGGACCGCCUCGCAAGCAGGACACUCUCUCUACAGCGGGGUGGAGGCCCUUGUUCUGAGAAAAGCCAGAUGCAAAGGCAGCCAGAGGCCAGGCACAAACAGAGGGUGUGGCUGAUCCAAUAAAACUUUAUCUACAGAGAGUUCCCCUCAGGGCUCAGCAGUAACGAACCCAACUAGGAUCCAUGAGGAUGCAGGUUUGAUCGCUCAGUGGGUUAAGGACCCGGCGUUGCUGUGAGCUGUGGUGUAUGUAGUUCGCAGACAUAGCUCGGAUCCCGUGUUGCUGCGGCUGUGGUAUAGGCCGGCAGCUACAGCUGCAACUCAACCCCUAGCCUGGGAACUUCCAUAUGCUGCAGGUGUGGCCUUUGAAAAAAAAAUAAAUGCUUUAUUUACAAAAAGAGGGGGCAGUGGGCUGGACUGGGUCAGUUUGCUGACCCCUGCUCUUGCCCCCCACCUUUAUCAAACACACGGAUAACUAGGGUGAAGCUCGUGCGCCGUCACAUGUGGACACAGCACAGCAUCCUUCCCACCCACCAGACGGCUCAGGCUCCGCUGCCAAGUGAGCACAGCAGGCGCAGGGGCUUCUGGGUCUCCCGAUUCCAGGUACAGGCCAUGGGCCUUGAUAUACCCGGUGUUUCUGGAAGGAAGCUGGGGUUGGUGAGAAGCAGCAAAGUGGGAGAGGAGGAAACAAAGGGGAGACAGUGAGCCCCGAGGAGGCACCUUUCAGCACUUGGCUGUGGAGGCCAGUGGGCGCGCAUCGGGUUAGGGCAUCACUGUCACUCAGGCAAAUGGCAGUCCCUUGGUACUGAAUUCGCUCAGUGCCCGAGGCGCUGGACUUUGCUCUGAAAGAACAGGAACCUCAGAGCGAUGGCUCUGUGUGUCUCCUUGCUCUGAAAGGGACGUAGCUACUUCUCAUGACAUCUGGGCAGCACUGGCAGCCAGAGGCGAACCUCCCGAGGCCGGGCUGGCAGAUAUUCACUGCACCUGCUACCACCACACACGCGUUUUCACACCACCACUCAGGAUGGGCUGUUACACGCCGUCCGCUGGGAUUCCCUGGGCUCUUCUCCUUGCGAUGCAGACACAGGAGCACCUGCUGCUGCCUCCACACCCACGCUCACCCCCAGCCCCCGCAAAUCCAGCCUCUUAUUUCUAGGGGAAACAACGCCAUUCCCACAGCCUAAAGGACUCCCACGAGCUGAGAUGAGGUCAUCUGGGAGGCUGGCAGCAGGGGGAUUUGCGUAUUUCUCAGGAGAGGCUCGUCUCUACAUGGAACACGCAAGAGGCACGUACGGCAAGACUUCACGCCACACGAGCCCCAUGCUGCCUCUCACGCACACCAGACACACUUUGUGGGGAAGGCUGGUGGCGGGCGGGGAGGCGUACAAAUCCCACAAAGGCCAGCCACAGGGACACGGGCAGACAGGCACCCUGAAGGCCCACCCCUCCCGUCGGCUGUGCUCGCCCAGGGUUCGGAGACCUUUGUGAUCACGGGGUUCGUGGCACCCCCGGUUCAGCCUGUGCCAGGCUCAAAGUCUGGCCUCACCCACCUGUGGCCUCAUUCGUCUCUGUUUAGUUUUCCUGGGGUGGCUGAUGGAAAAUACUGGAAGAAUGGUUCGUGUCUCCUAUUGAGUUGCAGACGUUCUGAGCAGUAAAGCCAUGCCCAUAAACCCAGGACCAGGAGGAGCAAGGGAGCUCAGGCUUGCUCUCCUGGGAGUCUGGGAAGCCACUCGAAGCAUCAGUACAGCAGCACACGCCUGCCCAGAGUUUUGUUCAGGUGUUGGGAAGAAAAAGCCACGUAGGAUAUGAGGGUGAGGAGGUGCUAAGAGACUUCUUAAAGCCUUCUGGAAUCAGGAAGCACGUAACUUCAGCAGUGGGUACCAAACAGCUAAGCCGCCACGUCCUUGGGGCUGACGACAUGGGGUCCAGUCUCCAAGUCCCCAGCUGCCAUCACCGCCCUGCCCUGAUGGAGAGUAGACAGCCUCUCUCUGAGGCACAUCACACACCACGACCCUAAACCCAUGUGUUUUCUGCUAAAAGUGUCUCUUCUGCUUGAGCAGCUCCCUCUGCACAGCUCUCGGGGUAACAGGCAGGUCCGCGUCGAGCACCACAGGUGGGCUGCAUCCACACACUGCUUGGUUCUCGUGAACCUUCUUUAAGCGCCUUCGAGAUUCCCAGCAGCCUCUGAAGUCUUUUCAUUCUGUCACAGAAGACCCGGGAGGCCACACAGGCAAAGCAACGUUCAAAGCGCAGAGGGGCACUCGAGGGCUCGACCAGCAGUUCCCUGUCCUGGCCGCCUCGAGGGCACCCCCACGUGCUGGACUCAAGGACGGCGGCUGGAAGACAAGCCAUCGCCAGCAUGCCUCCCGCUCCCCCCAUCCCUCGCCAGAAGCUUCCCCGAGCUCCGACCCCAUCGUCAGCAUCAUCACCAGCAGCAGCUCAACCACUUGAUCUUCGGCUGGAACCAGAGUCGUCUUAGAAGGGCCUGAGCCCUGUUUCUCAACACAAAUCGGGGACAGAUACGUGGAUCCAGGCACGGUUCUCAAACCAUAAUCCCCUCUCCUGACAGGAUGCCAGGAACCACCAGGAGAUCAGCCUGGCUGAGUUAAAACCAGGCCACAUCCAGACUACAACCUCCACUCUUCUCGUCCCCUCUGGCCCCGAAAAAGAGCUUUAAGCCACCUACUUUCUCUUCACGGGAUAAUCGAGACCCAGAAGAGACAGGAUGACCCCAUCCGGGGUGGCAGAGGGCCUGCCGGGCACUCAGCCGCGGCCUCGCUGUAGCUGCGCUCUUGGCUCAGAUAGCUGAGUGACAUUCACAUACAGCCCGGACUGGUCUGGCAGGCUUUGGUGACAGCUGUUCCCAUGUCCCUCCAAUUCUGUCCUCUGACCCCUUCUGUCACUGACAGACCAUGACAGUCCAGCGUGGAAAAUGCCUGCUAUGUAAGGCAAAGCCUGGGCCAGAUCUUGAGGAAUGAGGAGGGUCCAGCCAAGCCCCUGGGAAGGAGGGGGGUGGGGGUGGGGUGGCACUCAGGCAGAGGGGACCCCAAGAACAAGGAACUGAAGGGGGGACCCCUGCUUUGUCUAAAGAGCAGUGUUUCUUAACUCAUUUUUCCGUAUUUUUUCCCUCAUGGUCCACCCCACGUCACUUUUUUUUUUCUUUUUUUUUUAGGGCUGCACCUGCAACAUGUGGAAGUUCCCAGACUAGGUGCUGAAUCGGAGCUGCAGCUGCUGGGUGACACCACAGCCACAGCCACACCAAAUCCAAGCCACAUCUGCAACCUAUACCACAGUUUGUGGCAAGGCCAGAUCCUUAACCCACUGAGCGAGGCCAGGGAUCGAACCCACAUCCUCAUGGAUAUUAGCUGGGUUCUUAAUGCGCUCAGCCACAAGGGGAACACCCCCCGUGACACUUUAAUAGCAGAGAUACACAUGUACGACCCCCAGCACGACUGUACUAGCCAGGAUUUGCCUUCUCCUCCCAAGAAUCAAUGUUCGCCCCGACUAAGAAUGUGUGUCAUGAAGGGAUUAUGAGAAGCCUGGGCUGUUGAAGCAACAAGCAUGGACCUGGCUGUGCUAGCUGGUGGACGCCUGCCAUCUGUGGCCCACCCUUGUCCUCCAAGGCUGGGGGUGCCCCUUCUGGGCCCUGCCUGCCCCUCCUGCAUCAGAACGCUGUGUACCCAACAGGCACUCGGCAGGAUAACAGGGUGUGGAGACAACGGUUCUGGUCCCUGGCGCUUUCAGAACCAAAACAGGGUUUCAUCUGUCCAACAUAAAGCAGCAGCCGACGGGCCAGAACAAAGACUGUCAGUGCAGGGGACACGAGGGCUGGAGCCUCGGGGUCAGCUUCCUGCAGGGGCAGCGCUUGCUGGGGUCGGGGGGCCCACUGGGGCUGAAUGCGUUGAUGUCCACAAGCAGAAGCAGCAGGGGCA
ensembl:lncRNA